rnacentral:rRNA from 1 species
AGUGAACGCUGGCGGCGUGCUUAACACAUGCAAGUCGAACGAGAACGGGUUAUAGCUUGCUAUAAUUGUCAGCUAAGUGGCGCACGGGUGAGUAAUGUAUAGGUAAUAUGCCUCUUACUAAGGGAUAACAAAUGGAAACGUUUGCUAAUACCUUAUACUCCUUAUUAACAGAAGUUAGUAAGGGAAAGAUUUAUUGGUAAGAGAUUAGCCUGUAUUGUAUCAGUUAGUUGGUGGGGUAAUGGCUUACCAAGACUACGGCACAUAACUGGUUUGAGAGGAUGAUCAGUCACACUGGAACUGAGACACGGUCCAGACUCCUACGGGAGGCAGCAGUGGGGAAUAUUGCACAAUGGACGAAAGUCUGAUGCAGCAACGCCGCGUGGAGGAUGACACAUUUCGGUGCGUAAACUCCUUUUAUAUGAGAAGAUAAUGACGGUAUUAUAUGAAUAAGCACCGGCUAACUCCGUGCCAGCCGCCGCGGUAA